rnacentral:rRNA from 1 species
UACGGAGGGGGCUAGCGUUGUUCGGAAUUACUGGGCGUAAAGCGCGCGUAGGCGGACCUGCAAGUCGGGGGUGAAAGCCCGAGGCUCAACCUCGGAACUGCCUUCGAUACUGCGGGUCUCGAGUCCGGGAGAGGUGAGUGGAAUUCCUAGUGUAGAGGUGAAAUUCGUAGAUAUUCGCAAGAACACCAGUGGCGAAGGCGGCUCCCUGGACCGGUACUGACGCUGAGGCGCGAAAGCGUGGGUAGCAAACAGG